AAUUUUGAAGGCUGCUCAUGUUCCCAAUUUCAGGGGGGAUAGCACCAUGAAUGUAAUUGGAGGACAGGUCAAGUACCCUUAGUUUUGUAAGAUUUCCAAGUUGAGGAGGGAUUUUGUCAGAAAUCCGAUGGCCUCUGAGAUCAAGAAGAGUAAGGUUUGGGAAGCAAGAAAAGUUCAAUUUACGAAACUUAUUUCCUAUGUUCAAGUGUGAGGGUGGAUAAAUUUCAGUGACACUUCCAGCACUAUUGCAGAUAAUACCAGGCCAAUUGCAAUAACUUCUAGAAUUUAUGAUAACAUCACAAUAUAUAUUAGGCCACUUACGAUGUAAAGAGGAGAUAUUGGAGCAGGAUUUCCACCACCCACUAUCUAAUAGAGCCUUGCCUUCCAGUUGUAGAGAUGAGGGUUGGGACGUCACAUUUGCAAGGCUUGUGGAGGCAUUGCUAGCCGUAUAGAAGAAAAUGAUGGUAGCCAAUAUUGUUAAGUUGAUGGAAGAGGCAAUAUUGUAGAAA
rnacentral:misc_RNA from 1 species